rnacentral:rRNA from 1 species
UACGGAGGAUGCAAGCGUUAUCCGGAAUGAUUGGGCGUAAAGCGUCCGCAGGUGGCCAUGUAAGUCUGCUGUCAAAGCGUCUGGCUCAACCAGAUAAAGGCAGUGGAAACUACAUAGCUAGAGUAAGGUAGGGGUAGAGGGAAUUCCUGGUGUAGCGGUGAAAUGCGUAGAUAUUGGGAAGAACACCAGCGGCGAAAGCGCGCUACUGGGCCAUUACUGACACUCAUGGACGAAAGCUAGGGGAGCGAAAGGG